AGUCAGUCUAGCAGACACGGGUAGGGUAACACUGCCACAAAGGACUAAUAGGCAGAACCUCACCCAAAAGGAGAUCAAAACCUCAAAACUGAGACUCAGUAAUUAACCGAAAGGAAUCCCCAAGCGCCAUGUGGUUAACAGCGAUACUCGACCACGGUGGCUUCAUUCCUAAAUGGCUCCAAACUCAGACAAACCGACUGUCCACCUAAUGUAGAGCAGGUAAGUAAGUUAUAGUUAAUGUGGUACGAUGGGAAGUUGGCAUCCAAUGCACAGAGGUUCUACUUUCUCAUCUGUUAUUCAUGCUCCAGCCCACGGAAAGCUUACACCGGUUUUGAACAGUGGGAAGAAUGAAAAGUUCUUGGGGUUUUGUGCGUUCUGGAGAAGAGAAGAGUGAUCCAUGUCUGUCCUGCGGUUUGUGGAGUGAGGCCCACGGGGACAGUCUCCAGGGGCUAAGUCACGACAAACAGCUCUCUCAAACCGCUACGACUCUUCCAUGAAAUGCGUAGAGUGACGAGGAAUUCGGGUUAAGCAGAGCUAACUUCUUCCAGGUUCUAAUGGUAGCAUUGGUUGCCCCUCAAAUAAUAAAAUGAUCUAUGUUCCUGCUUCCUUCCUCA
rnacentral:lncRNA from 1 species